UACGAAGGGGGCUAGCGUUGCUCGGAAUCACUGGGCGUAAAGGGUGCGUAGGCGGGAUCUUAAGUCAGAGGUGAAAGCCUGGAGCUCAACUCCAGAACUGCCUUUGAUACUGGGAUUCUUGAGUUCGGAAGAGGUGAGUGGAACUGCGAGUGUAGAGGUGAAAUUCGUAGAUAUUCGCAAGAACACCAGUGGCGAAGGCGGCUCACUGGUCCGAUACUGACGCUGAGGCACGAAAGCGUGGGGAGCAAACAGGG
rnacentral:rRNA from 1 species